rnacentral:rRNA from 1 species
GAUGAACGCUGGCGGCGCGCCUAACACAUGCAAGUCGAACGGUUAAGGCGCCUUCGGGCGCAUAUAAAGUGGCGAACGGCUGAGUAACACGUGGGCAACCUGCCCCUCGCACCGGGACAGCCUCGGGAAACCGUGGAUGAUACCGGAUACUCCGCCUCCCCCGCAUGGGGAGGCGGGAAAGCCCAGACGGCGAGGGAUGGGCCCGCGGCCUGUUAGCUAGUUGGCGGGGCAGCGGCCCACCAAGGCGAUGAUGGGUAGCCGGGUUGAGAGACCGACCGGCCAGAUUGGGACUGAGACACGGCCCAG